GGGGAUUUAGCUCGGUGGCAUAAGCAUCUGCCUUGCAAGCAGGGGGUCAUGAGGUCAAUCCCCA
rfam:Cavia porcellus supercont2_53 genomic scaffold, whole genome shotgun sequence.